rnacentral:rRNA from 1 species
GAUGAACGCUGGCGGCGUGCCUAAUACAUGCAAGUCGAGCGAACAGACGAGGAUCUUGCUCCUCUGACGUUAGCGGCGGACGGGUGAGUAACACGUGUAUCACCUACCUAUAAUACUGGGAUAACUUCGGGAAACCGGAGCUUAUACCGGAUAAUAUAUUGAACCGCAUGGUUCAAUAGUGAAAGACGGUUUUGCUGUCACUUAUAGAUGGAUCCGCGCCGCAUUAGCUAGUUGGUAAGCUAACGGCUUACCAAGGCUACGAUGCGUAGCCGACCUGAGAGGCUGGUCGGCCACCCUGGAACGGAGACAGGGUCCAGACUCCUACGGGAGGCAGCAGUAGGGAAUCUUACGCAACGGGGGAAAGCAUGACGGAGCAACGCCGAGUGAGUGAUGACGGUGUCCGGAGCGGAAAACUCUGUUAUUAGGGGAGAACCACUGUGUAAGUAACUAUGCACGUAUUGACGGUACCUAGUCAGAAAGCCACGGCUAACUACGUG